CGGACUGUAGGCUGCAACUCGCCUACACGAAGCUGGAAUCGCUAGUAAUCGCGGAUCAGCACGCCGCGGUGAAUACGUUCCCGGGCCUUGUACACACCGCCCGUCACACCAUGAGAGUCUGUAACACCCAAAGCCGGUGGGAUAACCUUUAUAGGAGUCAGCCGUCUAAGGUAGGACAGAUGAUUAGGGUGAAGUCGUAACAAGGUAAC
rnacentral:rRNA from 1 species